UUCAAAUUCGGACAGGUCGGUGCGGGUCCCACGAUUCCCAUUUUGACUCCAAAAUUGACCCAUCUCCGUUUGUUGUGAUUUUGGUGUCUAAACGACCGUACUAACGUUGUGAUCCUAUAUUUGAUAGAGUGACAGCGUUCAAAGGUCAUUCGGGAAGGAAAAGCUCCGGUAAAGUGAUUUGGAGCGCACACGGUCAGCCUUAAGGUAGGCUACGGCUUCCU
rnacentral:lncRNA from 1 species